GAUGAGCCCGCGUACCAUUAGCUUGUUGGUAGGGUAACGGCCUGCCAAGGCUACGAUGGUUAGCUGGUCUGAGAGGAUGAUCAGCCACACUGGAACUGACACACGGUCCAGACUCCUACGGGAGGCAGCAGUGAGGAAUUUUGCGCAAUGGGGGAAACCCUGACGCAGCAACGCCGCGUGAGUGAUGAAGGCUUUCGGGUCGUAAAGCUCUGUCAAGUGGGAAGAACCUGCCCCGUGAUAAUACCAUGGGGUACCGACGGUACCACUGAAGGAAGCACCGGCUAACUCCGUGCCAGCAGCCGCGGUAAUACGGGGGGUGCUAGCGUUAUUCGGAAUCAUUGGGCGUAAAGGGCGCGUAGGCGGUCUUUAAAGUCAGAUGUGAAAGCCCUCGGCUUAACCGAGGAAGUGCAUUUGAUACUAGAAGACUUGAGUAUGGGAGAGGGAAGCGGAAUUCCUGGUGUAGCGGUGAAAUGCGUAGAUAUCAGGAGGAACACCAGUGGCGAAGGCGGCUUCCUGGACCAAUACUGACGCUGAGGCGCGAAGGCGUGGGGAGCAAACAGGAUUAGAUACCCUGGUAGUCCACGCAGUAAA
rnacentral:rRNA from 1 species